GGAAAGGAGCCCAGCCCAGGAUUGACAGGUGUUUCCACUCCCUCCUCAGGACAGAACACAGACCACUCACCAUGGAGUUUGGGCUCAGCUGGGUUUUCCUUGUUUCUAUUUUAAGAGGUGUCCAGUUUGAGGUACAGCUGGUAGAGUCUGGGGGAGGCCUAGUGAGGCCUGGGGGGGUCUCUGAGACUCUACUGCAUGGCUUGUGGAUUCGCCUUCAGUAACUAUGCAAUGUACUGGGUCAGACAGGCUCCAGGGAAGGGGUGGAAUGAGACUCAGGCAUUAGAAGUGGCGGUAGCACAUACUACCCCAACUCUGUGAAGGGCUGAUUCACCAUCUCCAGAGACAAUGGCAAGAAUGAGCUGUAUCUGCAAAUGAACAACCUGAAAACUGAAGACACAACUGUGUAUUACUGUGCAAGUGACACAGUCGAAAAUGG